CAUGUUCUCCGCAUCGCGCUGGAGAAGAAGGUCAGGCGGGAGGAGAGGGAAGAUGCCGUGGGCCCCGCCUGUCAUUGUCUCAGCGCUGACGUGGCGGACCUGCUGACUGGAUUAAGUGGAAGCGCAUUUCAUCCCCGCCCGCCGAAGUGCUUAUUUUGUGAACGUUCACUGCUUUAGUGCAUUUUCUGCCUAAAAAGUGAACGGCCACAACUUUUCAACCGUAACUCCGAUUGAGCCCCCUCCGAGAGAGAACUGUUUUCGGCAACUUUUUCGGCGGUCGUUUCACACUUUUUCCCGGA